rnacentral:rRNA from 1 species
CAACUCGGCUGCAUGAAGCUGGAAUCGCUAGUAAUCGCGGAUCAGAAUGCCGCGGUGAAUACGUUCCCGGGUCUUGUACACACCGCCCGUCACACCAUGGGAGUAGGUAAUGCCCGAAGUCGGUGACCUAACCGGAAGGAAGGAGCCGCCGAAGGCGAGGACUUAUAACUGGGGUGAAGUCGUAACAAGGUACC